UACGGGGGGGGCAAGCGUUGUUCGGAAUUACUGGGCGUAAAGGGCUCGUAGGCGGCCAUCUAAGUCGGGCAUGAAAUCUCUCGGCUCAACCGGGAGAGGUUGUCCGAUACUUCCAGACUUGAGGGCAGUAGAGGGUGGUGGAAUUCCGGGUGUAGUGGUGAAAUGCGUAGAUAUCCGGAGGAACACCAGUGGCGAAAGCGGCCACCUGGACUGCACCUGACGCUGACACGCGAAAGCUAGGGGAGCGAACGGG
rnacentral:rRNA from 1 species